AUCAGCUGUCCCCUGGAGUUUCCCUGACCACUUCAUUGGGAUGAAUCAUCCMAAAACCCUUCCACUGAAGGUGAAAUUCCAUGCAGCAUGCAUGCAUCGCACUGAAGUGUUUGGGGGAACUCCGGUUGGCAUCUGAU
rnacentral:pre_miRNA from 1 species